rnacentral:lncRNA from 1 species
CUGCUCUAGUGAUGAACUAGUUUUGGGGGUUUAAGCCAACAUAUAGCUAGAGAACAAAAGGGUAUUCCAAUGUAUUAAAAGUAUUUUAUUCAGUCAUUUAUUUUUUCCCAUCCAUGUGGCAUGUAAUUAUACAUCUCAUGCAAAGACUAAACACUGGAAAACACUUGUACUAGCAAAGAUUAGCUGCCAAGUUUAUAUUCUAUUUGAUUUAAUGUUUUGCCCCAUAGCUAAUAAUUAAUAGGAAAGCAAUGGUAAAAAUGGAGUUUGUAACAAUUUGAAACAAUUCAAAAUGUUUGAAUAUUGUCUUGCAUUUCAUAUUAGGAAACUUGGCCACUUUUUCUUAUUUUAAAACUUCCAGUGAAGAUAAAAGGCCCUAAUUAAUAAUUAACAAUUAGUUUUGAGAUUAGAAGUGCAAAUAAGUAGCGCUUGUGGAUGUAUUAGAUGCUCUUCCUGCCCAAGGGCAUUUACAAGUCUUAAGUUAAGGGAAAACAACACUCUGUAGUGAAGUUCCCCAGGGCUGACAAAAUGCAAGCUCUUACUGCCCCUGCCCCAGCAGGGAGAUGAUUACAGAAGCAGGCAGAGGGCAUAGCUGUGGGAGAGGGCAUGGAACGUGAGCUACGGCCACCGUGGAGGAGCACAGACCCUUCCAAGCCAGGGUCAAGCAGGGAAGCAGGUAAGGAAUAAAUGUCUCAAAGUUCUCUCCUGAACUCUGAUCUCCUGCUGGAAGUCGUGGGACAAAGGAGCCCUGCUGAUGCAGUCUAGGGAGGACAGCUUCUUGGGGAAAGAUCUAGAGUGAAUCGGCGGGGCAAAUGGAGAAUUUCCAGCACAAACCCUACACUUGGAAAAUUCAAGUUGUGGCCCUAGUCUUCUCCUUACUAGUCAUGUGUCCUGGAGAAACAAUUAUAUGUGUGUAUGUGUAUAUGCGUGUGUGUGUCUUCACAUAGAGAAAGUGAGUGAGAGAAAUAAUAUUAGCUUUGAUUUCAAAUAAAAGCAUUUGUAUGUGGCAGCAGGGGAUGGGUUAGGCUGAACCAUAUGAAACUGCCUUUUGUUAGGUCAAAAAUGUUUGCA